rnacentral:rRNA from 1 species
UGGGGAAUUUUGGACAAUGGGCGAAAGCCUGAUCCAGCAAUGCCGCGUGUGUGAAGAAGGCCUUCGGGUUGUAAAGCACUUUUGUCCGGAAAGAAAUCCUUGGCUCUAAUACAGUCGGGGGAUGACGGUACCGGAAGAAUAAGCACCGGCUAACUACGUGCCAGCAGCCGCGGUAAUACGUAGGGUGCAAGCGUUAAUCGGAAUUACUGGGCGUAAAGCGUGCGCAGGCGGUUUGCUAAGACCGAUGUGAAAUCCCCGGGCUCAACCUGGGAACUGCAUUGGUGACUGGCAGGCUAGAGUAUGGCAGAGGGGGGUAGAAUUCCACGUGUAGCAGUGAAAUGCGUAGAGAUGUGGAGGAAUACCGAUGGCGAAGGCAGCCCCCUGGGCCAAUACUGACGCUCAUGCACGAAAGCGUGGGGAGCAAACAGGAUUAGAUACCCUGGUAGUCCACGCCCUAAACGAUGUCAACUAGUUGUUGGGGAUUCAUUUCCUUAGUAACGUAGCUGACGCGUGAAGUUGACCGCCUGGGGAGUACGGUCGCAAGAUUAAAACUUAAAUGAAUUGACGGGGUCAUAGCUG